ACUGGUCAAAGAAAAAGAAGCAGCAUGCGUGGUGAAAGUCAUAGUAUAUCUAUGUAACUACAGCAAAAAGGAAACUCAUAGACCUUCUACAGUGUUGAUCAACAGCAAAAUCAACUGAUGGUCAUCGAAAUCCCAUUCCAGCCAGGAAGCAAGAAGAGUAAUCCCCUUAAACAGAAAAUUAUUACUGAAGGAGUACUGUGGACCCAACCCAAAAUGUAAUACACUAGCAAAGGAGAAUACAUUUCAGUGUGAGUGCUGCAGGUCUUCUUCCACCAGCCUUUCCCAGACAGAGAUGUGGUAUUGCUCCUGUGAUGUUGCUCCCAGAUGCAGAGAUAAAGGCAAUUCAGCAGCUGCUCCUCCGUGAGUCAGCUGAAGGUACUGGGAGGAGCCCAGUGGAAUUGACACCAAUUUGGGACACAUUUUAGCCUGGAAUAACUCCAGAAGAAGAACUUACUAGCUAAGCCUUGCUGGAAUUUAUGGAUAAGAGCAACAUGAAGAAAAUUAGAAGCAAGACCAGAGUUAUUCUGCAAGAGGGAAGAUGGUAAAAAAAUUCAAGACCAUAUCAGAAACCAAAUAACUUCAUUAAAACAUAGAACUACAAAGGAAGUCUCCACUGUGUAUUAGAUAUUCAUCAUACCUACCCUGUUCCCCAAGUAUCUGUAUUUACUUUAAGCUCAGACAUCUGUGCAUCCACUGUGAAGUCUUUCUAUGCAAUGUAGAAAUUUAUUCUAGAUUUGAUCAUGCAUAAUUAAGUAAUGGUGACCUAUACUUCAGAAGAUUAUCAAUGCUGAUAUUGUCAUAAAUAACUGAUAACCUGACAAAUAAUACAGUAUAAACUUAAUUAGUGCACAGCACUAUAUGCCUCAGGAAGAGUGUUUCAAAGACCCUGUUUUCCUAACCCUGAUUGAUGAUUCCUUUUGAGCUUAAUAAAUGCUCAAAGCUGGGAUCAAAA